AAACAGAAACGGAGUCAUCAGAUUGCUCACAGUGGCCAAAUCUUGCCCUAAAGUCAAAGCUCUGAAGCACUGCACUAAAGAGCUCUUGGAACACCCGUGGAUUCCCAAGGAAAGGAAUGGAUAAAGUUAAGCCAUGAUGACCUUGUUGAAUCCAGCCAUUCUGCAAGUGCCUGUUUUGACUUUAGGGAUGGAAGUCCUUCCAGGCAUGCCAAGAGGGAAGGAAACAUGGCAGGUGCACUGGCUUUGAAGUUGCCGUGGUGGUUGCAAUCCUGCAUCUGUCUGUUCCUGAUGG
rnacentral:lncRNA from 10 species